rnacentral:rRNA from 1 species
UACGGAGGAUGCAAGCGUUAUCCGGAAUGAUUGGGCGUAAAGGGUCCGCAGGUGGCAGUGUAAGUCUGCUGUCAAAGAAUGAGGCUUAACCUUAUCAAGGCAGUGGAAACUACACAGCUAGAGUACGGUCGGGGUAGAAGGAAUUCCUGGUGUAGCGGUGAAAUGCGUAGAGAUCCGGAAGAACACCGGUGGCGAAGGCGGUCUGCUGGGGUCGAACUGACGCUGAGGCGCGACAGCGUGGGGAGCAAACAGG